rnacentral:lncRNA from 1 species
GUUUUCUGGUCUGUGGCUCUGUUCGUCCGUCUGUGUGUCCAUUCGUCCGUCUUUGCGUCUGUUCAGGUUAAAGUUUUAGUCAAGGUAGUUUUUGAUGAAGCUGGAGUCCAAUCAACUUGAAACUUAGUAGACUUGUUGCUUAUGAUAUGAUCUUUCUAAUUUUAAAGCCAAAUUAGACUUUUGACCCCAAUUUCACGGUCCACUGAACAUAGAAAAUGAAAGUGGGAGUUUCAGGUUAAAGUUUUUGGUCAAGGUAGUUUUUGGUGAAGCUGAAGUCCAAUCAACUUGAAACUUAGUAAACUUGUUGCUUAUGAUAUAAUCUUUUUAAUUUUGAAGCCAAAUUAGACUUUUGACCCCAAUUUCACGGUCCACUAAACAUAGAAAAUGAAAGUGGGAGUUUCAGGUUAAAGUUUUUGGUCAAGGUAAGUUUUUGAUAAAAUUGAAGUCCAAUCAACUUGAAACUUAGUACAUAUGUUCCCUAUAGUAUAAUCUUUCUAAUUUUAAUACCAAAUUAGAUUAUUACCCAAUUUCACGGUCCAUGGAACAUGGAAAAGGAUAGUGCGAGUUGGGCA